CGCAAGGGGAGUGGCAGACGGGUGAGUAACGCGUGGGAAUCUACCCAAUUCUUCGGAGCAACUGAGGGAAACUUCAGCUAAUACCGGAUGUGCCCUUCGGGGGAAAGAUUUAUCGGAAUUGGAUGAGCCCGCGUUGGAUUAGCUAGUUGGUGGGGUAAAGGCCUACCAAGGCGACGAUCCAUAGCUGGUCUGAGAGGAUGAUCAGCCACACUGGGACUGAGACACGGCCCAGACUCCUACGGGAGGCAGCAGUGGGGAAUAUUGGACAAUGGGCGCAAGCCUGAUCCAGCCAUGCCGCGUGAGUGAUGAAGGUCUUAGGA
rnacentral:rRNA from 1 species